CAAUUAAUCUGAAACAAAAGGUAUUUGUAUUUGUUUACAGUUACAGUUUAUAUAAUCACAAUAUUAUUGCUUGAAUCAGUAGGUGUUUCUAUUGCUUAAUGACAGUUAGAUUUUAUGAAAUCAUGUUAUUAUUGUUUGGUAUGAAUCAAACUGGUUGACAAUCGACAUGCUUAGAAUGUGAAACAUAAGGUGUUUGUGUAGCUUAACGUAUUCGAUGAAAGUAGGAUUGUAUGGAAUCACAUUAUUAUUGCUUGAAAAUCGUAUUUAAUUGCUUAAUCCGUGUUUGCACAUGAACUGUUUGAUCAAAUGCCAGAGAGAAAUUACAUGUCACUAGUGUCGCUUAUGUAUUCAAGCAGCAUAUGAUUCAUUUAUACUUUUGCUACAUGUGUCGGCAACUCGAAUGUUACACAAAAAACAACUAUAACUAUAAAUCAUGAAACACCAGAAGGGUUCUUGUAUUGUGAACCUCGUGUUGAUUUAACACAUAAAACAUUUGAGGUAGUUCAGAAGGAGAUAGAGGCCGCUCUUUAUUCAUGUUCAUUGGCAGAGAUGACUAUAGAGGAGUCUGUGCAAGUUUCCAUCAUAAAAGAGAAUCGGCAAAAUUCAAUGAUUGUGAAAUACAAGGUUGUGAUUCAUGCUAAAGAUUGUAUUUUUAUAUUUCAAACUCAGCAUUUACAGAGCUAAUAACUACAUGGAUAAGAACUUUAAAGAUGGCAAAAUGGGAGGGCAAUUAACAGAUUCGAUUCAACCGAGCAUGUGGGCUAAGAAAGAUGGGAGGGCAGUCAGUCUCAUGAACGCUUAGUGGACACAAGGGUUACGUAUCGUCUUGUCAGUAGGUUCCCAAUGAAGAUACUCAUUUGAUAACAAGCUCUGGCAAUCAGACUUGUGUCUUGUGGGAUAUAACUACGGGGCUCAGAACUUUAGUGUUUGGAGGAGAGUUUCAAUCUGGACACACUGCUGAUGUUUUCAGUGUUUCAAUCUGUGCUCCAAACUCAUGAAUGUUUGUAGUUGGGUCUUGUGAUGCAAUUGCACGUCUUUGGGACACUCAUGUUGCAAGUAGAGCUGUAAGGACAUUCCAUGGUCACGAGGAGGAUGUUAAUUCUGUAAAGUUCUUCCCAGAUGGAAAUAGAUUUGGAACGGGAUCAGAUGAUGGAACUUGCAAACUAUAUGAUAUUCGAACUGGACAACAACUACAAGUUUACCUCCAACAACAGCAGCAGGGUGGUGCUAAUGUCCCACCAGUUCAAGGCUGUGCAAAUGAUAGGCAGGUCAUGGACGGCAAAGAGUUUGGAAUAAAAGAAAGAAGAACUGUAGCAAGUGUGGAGGUACAAAACACAAUGCAAGGACGUGUGGUAGAGAACGAGUAACAAAGAAACAAAAUACAUUAUUUGAGGUUGCUGUGAGCAAUCUAUGAUGGAUUUUUAUUUUCAUAUUGCUUUAAUUGUUUAAUUAUUAUCUGUUCGGGUAGUAGUCAUUGAACAGAUUGUAUUUGAUAUUUUGAAUUUUUCUGAUCAUUUGUUUAAAA